AACGAACGCUGGCGGCGCGCCUAAUACAUGCAAGUCGAGCGAGAAGACGUAGCAAUACGUUUGUAAAGCGGCGAACGGGUGAGGAAUACAUGGGUAACCUACCCUCGAGUGGGGAAUAACUAGCCGAAAGGUUAGCUAAUACCGCGUACGCUCCUUGGACUUCGGUUCAGGGAGGGAAAGCGAUACCGUGGGUAUCGCGCUCUUGGAUGGGCUCAUGUCCUAUCAGCUUGUUGGNGAGGUAACGGCUCACCAAGGCUUCGACGGGUAGCUGGUCUGAGAGGACGAUCAGCCACACUGGCACUGGCGACACGGGCCAGACUCCUACGGGAGGCAGCAGUAAGGAAUAUUGCGC
rnacentral:rRNA from 1 species